AUGGCUCAGCAGUUAAGGGCAAGUGCUGUUCUUACAGAGGACUUGAGUUUAGUUCCCACCACCCACAUUGGACAUCUCAUAACCCUCUGUAGUUCCAGCUUUCUGGGAUCAGUUACCUCUGGCCCCAGUGGCAUUUGCAUUCAGGUGUGCAUAACCCCCAUGUAGAUAAUUAAAAAUAAAGUGAACGUUUAAAAGGCUAGCACACAAAAUAAUAUUGGCAGCUUGCUUCACUAGGGGAAUAAUAUUAUUUUCUAAAAUUACUUUUGUAUUUCCUUCUAAGUUUGUAACCAUAAAUCUAGUGAAAUAUGAGUCUAUCCUGUCUUGUCUAACAGAAAGAGGUGAGAUUUCUUUUCUUUUCACUUAGUAUUUCUUUUCACUUAAUAGACUAUAUUAAUCACAGUUCCUUUGCUAUAAUGUACAAAUUGUAUUGGCGAGAAACUUUUAGCAUCUACUAAAAUGUCAAAAUGGAAAGAAGAGAGUAUUCUGUGAAGUUUGACAAUGGACCACACAUGACCCAAGGGAAUGGUUCACCAAUGAGUGUCAGGUGUGACAGCUGGUAGCAGAGUGACCCUGGGCAGUUUUAACACGAGGAACAACACUCACAUGCAGGGACUGGCCAGCAGGGAGGACAGGGACACAAGGAGCAGUAGCAUGAAUGGUGCACUUGCUCACACACAGUCAGGCUGGAGAUGGAGAUUUGUCUAAAGGAGCUUCUUGUAGGAAUUCCUGUUUGUUCCGUGAGAGCCUGAGGAAACACCUCAGCAGGACUACAUUCUUGUGUGGCUACUUCUCUUCAGUAGUUUGCUUCUCAGGCUGAUUCGUCCAUUGUACAAAUCUGAACACUUCCUGUGUACAGAAGCUGUGCUAAAUCCUGAGAGAAGCUGAGGGGCAAGGCCAGCAGGAGCCUAUGCUUCAAGCUCAGGUCAGGAGUCACUUCCAAAGUGACAAGAGCAUUGAUACCAGAGCAGAUCCCAUGCCUGGGAACACUCAGCUGGCCCUAGUGCAGCAGUCCUGUGGGUCUUAUGUUACAGUUUAUAACAGUAGCAAAAUCACAGGAAGUAGCAGUGAAAAUAAUUUUAUGGCUGGGGUCACCACAUGCGGAUCUGUAUUAAAGAGUCUAGCAUUAGGAAGGUUGAGAACCACUGCCUUAGGGGAUAGAGGGAAACCAGAGCUAGAGAUGAAGGCACUGAAUUCAGUUCCAGGAUUGCUGGUGACAGCCCAAGUUGCCCACUCCUGUUACCUGGGUUAGGGCCUGUUUUCUUCAAAAUUGUCUUUACAUCACCCAGCCUGAUGUGUGGAUGAUGUAAGAAAAGAUACCACAUUUUGGUCUCAGGUUCCUACCUAUGUUACUCUACAUACUCCACUUAGCCACCUCCUGUCCAGCCCUUAUGUCUCAACUCAGACACCCUUCUUCCCAGUCUUCAGUCAGGACUGUGUGCACUCCGCAAGGUGCAGAAACACUGGUCCCAGAGGGGUCCAGAGAGGCAGGACAGAAGGCCAGUGGGGUCUAGACGAAGUCCUUCAGGCAUACCCUUCAGCCCUGGUACUUUGCUCCAUGCAAAGUAACAUUUCAAACCAGUGAGUGUACCUGAUGGUUCGUGCAAUGAGAGCAGAAAUCCCUAUCGGUCUCCUGUUAUAGUCAGUUUCCAGCAAACAAUUAAUGAGUGAUUGGAUGCCAUUGGAAUGUAUCAGUCAAGAAAGUGGUGAGAGAAGGGGAUUGUGGGUUGUUCCAGUGUUGGCAGCAUGUUGUACUUAUGGGUUAGGAGGGAAAUGAAAAGGGGAGGAAGGGUUGGUUGAUGUGUACAGGAGAGUUGGCCAGAGAGCCUGAGAAGGGAGUGCUUUCUGUCGCCUUGAGAUGAGGGAGAGGCUUUUCAGUAGCAGCCUGCCAUGGACAUACACUGUUCCCGUGGGUGAUGGAGCCUCAGACAGGUGCCUGUGGGUUUCUCUAAGCCUCGAAUGUAUUUGUGGUCAGAAGCAGUGCUGCAUAGCUGUAGUUAAGCUCGUCACUUGGGGUUGGAUUCUCGUAACAUCAAUGUGCCUGUGCUUCCUGCCGUCCUGUUCAGGUCUCAUCAGUACUGAUUUGGGGCAGCUAUGAGGACUGCAACGUCCACAAGGGAGCUUUCUGCAGCAUACUGUGCCAGACUCUACUAGAGGAAGAUUUUCUUCACUGGUAUUUUACCGGAGCUCUAAGCAAAAGAACAUGAGGCUGAAUUGAGGUGGCUUUGUGGUCAUCCGAUUUCUAGACGUGUGCGGUCACCUGGUCCUGAAAACCCUCCACACAGAAUGGUUUGCAAUUUUUUUUGGUGAUGGCAUGUUCAGAAUCUUGGAUCCCUAAAUUGAAUGUUGGAAAUAUGUAGGAGCCUUGGAAAUUACGUUGUUUUCAUAUAUUAAUGUUUUGGUAGACUAAUAAAUGUAUGUAAAGGAACUCCAUACUUGUAAGGUGACAGGUAUGUCUCAGGGCUGUCACCUGUGUGAGUGCUGUGCUCUGGAGACAGCUCUGCUGUGGAGAUUCUCUGUGGACCUCUUGCUGUCCUGGGCAGACUGUGAGAUUCCUCCCAUGAUGCUUUGGUUAGCUGGUUUUCUUUCCUACCUACAUUGCAGUGGGAGCUCCUUAGAUCAGGAGUUAUGAAGAGAAGAAAAAGCAUCAAGUAACAAUCUUAAAUGCAGUAACCACAGAAUUUCUACCUGGGAAUCAUCUUACAAGGUCUGUAUUAGAAUAUAUAAUUUUUUAAAUCAAAUAUAUGUGUAGCGAAAUGCAGCCAGUUUUUAAAGUCAGGCAUUAUUGUAGAUCAGAGGUGUUCACAUUGAGGGAAUAAGGAUGCUCGCUUUCACCUUCUUCCUGUCUCCUCCUUGUCAGUUGAUGAGUUAGUAGGAAGGGGUUAGUGGUCUAUGUAAAGAGGAGGAGGAGAGGCUUAAAUUUCCUGAAAGGAUUAAUUUCCCUUAAAAUAAAACCAAAAACAAAAAACCCAACAAACCAAAAACUUAGAAGUUGGUUCCCUUCCCUGUGUGGGCUGCUCUCAUGUAGAAUGUGGGUGGGAGAGUCUCCAUCCAUGGACAGAUGAUGGUGGUAUCGGGUGCAGUGCAGGUUAGAGUCGCUGUAGUUACCCUUGAUGGUGUGUGGUCCUUCACUGCCUCCUGCACCUGCUGGAACUCAGAGACUUAAGGAAGCUCAGUUACUCCGUUGUCAGUGUGAAUGCCGUUCUCCUCUUACAUCCUCACUGGGGAGUACUGAUUGCAGGGACCACGGUUAGAGCAGCCUGGAACGUGAAGGGAGUGCAGGAAGCUGCAGAAACUGAACCAGAGCUCAGGAGAGCCUCCGUUGAGUUUUAUUAUUGGUGGGUUGUCCAUUGUUCCUGGAGACCUUGCUUACCUGCAGUCACCAUUAUCCUUAGAUUUCUCUUGGAGUUUUUCAGAAACUGAAGGGCUGUAAUCCUGCCAGUGGCGCCCCUUCUAGUUAAAAUCUAAUUAUAUCAUUUCCCUUCUUGCCUUUCUUCCCUCCAACCUUCUCUUCCCUUUUCAGUGGCAGAAAUGAUACUUAUUAGAUGAUACUUAUUUGCUGGGAAACACUACUUAGAUUUUAAUUGUGACAUACCAGUGUCAGUGUCAGUUGCUUCCUGAUUAUAACUGGCUUUGAAAAACUCUCCUCCUGUGGCACUGCUGUCAACAGAGGUUUCCUUUUAGCUGGUUCUAGCCACAGUAUCGAUUGGGCCUGGGGAUCUGAUAUACCCAAAAACAAAUUAGCCAGCCAGAAAAAAAUCUUUGUCCCCACCGGAAUAAAUAUUUUAAAGACCUUCUUAGAUUCUGAAAACCAUGAGUACAAAUGAAAGAGACCCAUGAAAGAGAAAACCUUAGGAGCUUGACAAAACAAAGUGCUGGUGGGUGCGACUGACCUUCACAGAGCAGCUCUAAGGGAACAGUGCCUCCUGGAGGGGAAGAGAAGGCUGGAGUGUCCUGGACACGAGGCAUUUCCUGUCGCCACAGCUAGUUUUCACAAGCAGGCCAUGGAAUUUAAGAAUAGUGAAUUAUUGUGGUAUGUUCUAAAUGUGUUUGCAGCUCAAUGGUUAAUUUAACUUCAAAUAAAUGUCUUUACGUAUUAAAGAAAAUACAUUAUCAAUAAAAUUCUUUUGUUCCUGUUGUAUAACUUCA
rnacentral:sRNA from 1 species